CGGGGUGUGGCACAGUUUGGCUAGUGUACCUGGUUUGGGACCAGGGGGUCGCAGGUUCGAAUCCUGUCACCCCGA
rfam:Shuttleworthia satelles DSM 14600 genomic scaffold Scfld0, whole genome shotgun sequence.